AUGGCUGGCCCCAAGAGAGGCAUUAAUUUCCUGGAUGAUAUUUUAAUGGAAUACGACAUGAGGAUCAAGACUACUGAACGAGAAUAACAUGAUCUACAACUGAUCGAUGGUGUAUCAGUUCUAGGCCACAUGGGCAUGCGGAACCGUAGUGUGUUCACGAGACGCAUCCAUGGUGAUUGUGGCGCAGUUGACAUAACUUUUUCAAAUAUUGAAAAUGCAGUUGAGGCAACUGUAGAAGUUACCAUAUCAGAAGUGCAAAGCAAUUUCAAUCUGUUUCUCGGUUGUUUUACCAGUGGGUUGAAUGAAGAAAUUCGGCUCUUCGAUGGUGCCAUUAGUGAGACACGGAACUUAAAAAGGUCUGUCGUUGCUGUGGUGAUAGAUUCUUGGAUACACUUCAAGUUCAAGGUUGGCACGGGGCCAUCCAGUUGUGCUGAACACGAUUGUUUCUUCAAUGCUGGCAACCACGGGUCUAGUGCUCGAACGAUUAAGACUGAUUUUGCAUUAAUCUCAGUGAAGGUGAUCUGGUCGCCUUUGCCUGAUGGGUUCUAG
rnacentral:rRNA from 1 species